UGGGGAAUAUUGCACAAUGGGGGAAACCCUGAUGCAGCGACGCCGCGUGAGCGAAGAAGGCCUUCGGGUCGUAAAGCUCUUUUAUAUGGGAAGAUAAUGACGGUACCAUAAGAAAAAGCCCCGGCUAACUACGUGCCAGCAGCCGCGGUAAUAAGUAGGGGGCUAGCGUUGUCCGGAAUCACUGGGCGUAAAGGGUUCGCAGGCGGCAAUGCAAGUCAGAUGUAAAAGGCAAAGGCUCAACCUUUGUAAGCAUCUGAAACUGUAUAGCUUGAGAAGUGUAGAGGCAAGUGGAAUUUUUAGUGUAGCGGUGAAAUGAGUAGAUAUUAAAAAGAAUACCGGUGGCGAAGGAGACUUGCUGGGCACAAUCUGACGCUGAGGAACGAAAGCGUGGGGAGCAAACAGG
rnacentral:rRNA from 1 species